rnacentral:lncRNA from 1 species
AGAUAUUUUAGUAAUUUGAAAUCCUCAGACAGGAUUGUUGGCGAAGCAUCAUUCAGGCCAUUUGGUUCUUCCAUCACCACCACCGUUGAGCCAAUUCGGCCAUUGAUGGCCACCGUUGAGCCAAUUCGGCCAUUGAUGGUUUUGCACGACGAGCAAAGCUUGGGCGGCACUUACUCAAUUACCAAAAGUGCAACUCAUAGGCAUUGGUUGCCACGCUCGCAUCACUUGCAAACCAAGCGAGCAUUUGUUCGACUGAUUGGCGCCUCUUCGCACUUUCCUUGCAAGAAUAAUUGCGGACAUCUACAUCAAAGUGACAGUGAAAAAUCUUUCGGGAUGAAGAUAAAACUUAAAUCUAGGGCUGCAAAAUAUUCAAGCUAUUCAUGUAUAGCUUGAGAUCGGCUCGUUAGCAGCUCGUUUGAGCUUAGCUUGGAAAACAAACCGAGCUCAACCUGAACACAAUUGGCUUGCAAAAGCAAAGGAGAGCACAGAUCUGUUCAUAACUUGGUUUAGAAUUUAUACGAGGAGAGUUUGAGCAACCUGUACAAUUGUAUUGAGAUCACUUGAGCUAAAAAUGCUCUAUAGAAUAGAGAUAUCCAUAUUGUAUCUGCUAAAGGAAAAAAAAAUGGAUAUAAAUAUAGAUUCAUCAAAUU